rnacentral:rRNA from 1 species
CAAAAACAUAGCCUAUAACUUUAACUUUAGGUACAACCCUGCCCUCUGAAAUUUUAACAGCCGCGGUAUCCUAACCGUGCUAAGGUAGCAUAAUCAUUUGCCUAUUAAUUAUAGGCUAGCAUGAACGGGAUCACUCACUUAAAUUUAUUUUCACUACAAUUAAAAUUAAACUUUAAGUUAAAAUACUAAAUUUUUAAGAAAGACAAAAAGACCCUGAAAACUAUUAGAAGAUAAUUAGUUGGGGCAACUAUAGACCAUAAACAGCGUCUAUUAAAAUUCGAAUUAUUUUAAAAUUCAAAGCACACAGUUACUUCAGGGAUAACAGACUAAUUGUAUUAUUUAGACCUAAUAAAUAAUAAAGAUUGGCACCUCGAUGUUGGCUUAUAAUUCCUUCAUAUAGUAACAUAUAUUGAUGGCAGCUUGUUCAUCUGAUAAAUAUUUACGUGAUCUGAGUUCAGACAAG